rnacentral:rRNA from 1 species
GACGAACGCUGGCGGCGUGCUUAACACAUGCAAGUCGAACGAAGUGGCGAACGGGUGAGUAAUACGUGGGUAACAUGCCAUCCUUUUUGGGAUAAGCCUUGGAAACGGGGUCUAAUACCGAAUAAAGGGGUAUGGGCUCGCCGCAUAUCAGCUUGUUGGUUGGGUUAUGGCCUACCAAGGCGGUGACGGGUAGCCGGACUGAGAGGGUGACCGGCCACAUUGGGACUGAGAUACGGCCCAGACUCCGACGGGAGGCAGUAGGGGGGGAUAUUGCACAAUGGGCGAAAGCCUCAUUCAGCGACGCCGCGUGGGGGAUGAAGGUUUACGGGUUAUAAACCUUUUUCGCCAUCGAAAGGGUAGGUGGGGAAGAGGCGCAGGCUAACUACGUGGAAGCAGCCGCGGUAAUAC